GACUAUUUUAAUUUGAAGGUUUACUCUAAAUCUGUAACUUGUGGAGGCAUAAGUUUGAGCUAAGUCUAGGUAGUUGGUUGAUAUGAUCAUUGAAAGUCUGAGCUGCUAUUUAUCUUAUUCCUAGCAUUACUAAGUUCUGGAGAUUUAUUUUGAAACCUGAAAUUUACAUUAUGAGCUCUUGUAUGACAAGUUUGAAUUCCUACCAAAGCCAUACAUAAUAUACAUUUAGAGUUAGGAAAACUUUUGCACAUUUAUGCUGCUUGUUUUGCAUUGAGUUCAGUCAACCUUUGUAGUAUACCUUACGAGUCUUGUCAUGCUUUUAAAACCAAGAUCACGUACACACUUCAGUUCACAUAUGCAUUAUUCCUACACUAGAAGUAAACACCAACAUAAACCAUACCCAUAUGAUAAAGCCCAUCAUAAAUGCCCUAAGUUCUUAUUAUUACCUCUCUGAUCAUUUAUUGUAUUCAAAGGAUACAUGUGGCUAUGCAAAAAUAUAAAAGAAAAAAAGGGAGUAAAAGAUGGAAAAGUGUCCCAGUAAUUAAAACAAUGGGUACUAAUGCCCGCCUCCUUGAAUAAAAAAUUAUAAAUAAUAAAGAUAGCCCAUGUCUUUCCCAAAAAGUUUCAAUAGAGAGUUAUUCCCAAAGAAAUAGAAAUUAGCCACAAAUACCACAAAUGCACCCAUCCACCAUAUUCCAUACACAUGUACAUCUUGGUUUGAUUGUAUGCCUCGAUUCUCUAUGGAUCCAUGUCUAUCCUUGUUAUUGGCACUCCAAUAAGCUCUACCAUAUAUACCUUUAGCUAUAGGAGGCAUAACAUCAUUAAUGCCAC
rnacentral:lncRNA from 1 species